UACCGAGGGUGCAAGCGUUACUCGGAUUGACUGGGCGUAAAGGGCGCGUAGGCGGUUAUUUAAGUUGGAUGUGAAACCCCCGGGCUUAACCUGGGACGUGCAUACAAGACUGGAUAACUGGAGUACUGUAGAGGGUAGUGGAAUUUCCGGUGUAGCGGUGAAAUGCGUAGAGAUCGGAAGGAACACCAGUGGCGAAGGCGGCUACCUGGACAGAUACUGACGCUGAGGCGCGAGAGCGUGGGGAGCAAACAGG
rnacentral:rRNA from 1 species